GGAGCUGUGAUGAGAAAGCUAACACGUAAGAAGAGGACUCCUUUGUGGAGUACCUCUUAUAUGAAAUAUAUUUGUUAUGCUUGGCUCUGGGAUAU
rfam:Brassica napus, WGS project CCCW01000000 data, contig: 39657